CUAUUCAAGCUCUCCCAGGAUAUGAGACCCCUAUGGCCGGAAGAUGAGCCGCCCUGGACGCCCAGAGGAGAAGGUCUCUGAAACCCAGUUGUCCGGGGUUCCCGACGCCCCUGAAGAUGCUCCUGGUGAUGCCAUAGAUGGUGCAGAGGGUUCGGACUUGGUGCCUUCUGUCACCCUGGCUGCAGCCCUCAUCCUAGUGUUCCUCCUGAUGUCAUUCUGGCUGGCAUAGCCACCCUGCCAAACCUCCUGCCACUCUGCUAAGCUUUCUAUUAAGUGGGUUUCUGAGCAGAGGGCAACAGGACAGCUAGGCUCCUGGCUCCGCUCUGGGUCGAUGUCAUUCAGUGCUGUGUGUGACCUGUCGAAGGAGGAUCCCGUGGGAGACUACAGCCUGGACCCCUACGUUUAGGCAGCUCAUGUUCAUUCCUCUGGCCUGCUUCCGUUGAUAAGUUGCUUCAGCUGUGUUCCCCAUCUUUGGAAAGCCAUGCUGGGGGCUUCAGAUAAAGCUGAAUGACUCCAGGCAUUUGUAUCAAUGAGUGGGAGUAACUGUGUAGUCAGUCUUUCUAUUCUGGGCCUCGGAUUCCCCAGUUUUCAAGGUGGGCUGGUAGUACCUGUUUCUUGGAAUUUUGAGGAAGAGGCCCAGUGAGUGGCCUUCUGUGCUCACGCUGAUCUAUACCCGCCCACCACACCAGCCUCUGAGCACUCACCCAAAAGAUUCAUGGGAAAGGGCAAAGGAGCUGCCUCCAAAGGAUGCACUGGUCUCAUCUGCCACCUGGUGGUCAAAGAUAGAAUUGCACCUGCAUAGAGGUUUUGUUUUGUUUGACGUGAAAUUUUGAGAUUUUUUUUCAUGAGCAAGGAUCCCGCUGCCAAGUGAAAACUGUUUUGACAUUUGCUACUGAUGUCUGUUCCCCAUUUCUGUCUUUGAUCUAUAGGCCAUUAGAGAGGAGGCAACUCUCCUGCUUUAAGGCAGGAUUGUGGGUGGUUCCCUUCUCAGGACACCAUGCCUUCCUGCCUUCAGCAGCCUGAGUUCCAAGAGACUUUCCUCUCAGGCAUGACUGCUUUUCAGGUAGGGAUCUGCUGGUUGGGUCUGGAAGGACAAGUACAAGCAUCUAGAGAACCCUGCAGCUACCCACAUCCCACGGGGUCACUGCUCUGCCAAGCCAGAGACUGUCAGGAGGCUCUGGGGUGUCUCAAGGAGGGCUGCCUCAGACAGUGGGGUGUUUAUGUUCUCCAGGUGCCGACUUUCCUUCCAGGAACUUUGGGUCUGAGCUCUGGUUUCUGAACUAUUCUGUGCCCAUGCCAGGGUCCCAGAAGAGGGCUCUGCUCCUUCCUGGGAAUGUGAAACACAUGACUGUGUGCCCCACUGGGGACAAAGUCCUCUGCUCCAGGAUGACAGCAGUCUUAGUCCAACACUUGGGUCCUGUCGUCUCAGGCAAUGUGAGAAGUGAGCAGGAGCUCUAGGUGGCCUCGGAGAGUCUGGGAGGAGUAUAGGUGUAGUCCUUGAGGCAGUGGUGACAGGCACUCUGGGUGGUAGACUGAGGGCAAAGGCUGGGAGUCGGAUGAUGCUUUUCCAACAGGAGGAUAGGAGGUGGCAUGCGGGGGACAGGGUGUCCAAGCAAAGAGGGAAGUGGGACUCUCAGUGGGCCACUGUGGGGUUGACCUCCACAGUGAGGCUCUGAGUGUGAGAAGUAGCAGGGCCUCAAGCAUGGCUCCCGCAGCCUCUGGACUUCUUCUCUUACCCCUGUCUAUCCCUGUCUAUCCCUGCUGGAGGAGAGAAGCUGAAGCCAGACACCUGAUCCCCCCCCNCCCCCCCCACCCCCCGUUCUCUGGGUUUCUACUAUUGUGCCCUUGGGUGCAGCUGGUUAGAUAACGACUCAGACCUCUUUGGAAUUUAGCACAAGCUGUCACUUUCUGUCAGGUGUGAUCCCAAGCCCCUCAUCCCUCCUGACACCUCCUCACCUGUGAAGCUGACCAGACGCAAAGCUAGAACAUCAAUGGCCUUUCCCUCGAUGGCUGAGGUCACCGCUGUCCUUUCUGUCAGGCAUGGAUGGCAGCAGCAUCCUGGAAAUCGUGCCGACUGCAGGCUUUGGGGAACUCAGGAGAGCUGGGCCGUGGACAGAAGCUCUUCCAGGCCUGCCUGCCUGAAAUCCAGGUUCUACCACAGUUCCAGUGCCAACAAGCUAUCCGUGCAGGCCAGGGCAAGUGCAUGCAUUGCUAAAUAGGACUCACGAAGAUGCCCUGUGGUUUCCAGUGGCCAGCUCGCUCCGUCUGGUCCCAUUCCUGGAUUCUCAAUGCCCAGCCCAUCAGCACAAGUACCUGGGGAGAAUGCAGGCCAGGAAGAAAUGCAUCUGCAAGGAAAAUAUUGUUUUAUAGAAUUCAGUGGCCCAUUCUGUAAACAUUGUGGUUCUGCCUCAGGUUUUUUCCUGCCUGUCUCCUACCUCCAGGGAGCAUCAGGGAGCACCAGGGAGCACCGGGGAGCACCGGGGAGCACCGGGCAGCCAGAUGCCUGAGCUUAGGAAAAUAUGUGCUUAGGGUGAGUUGGCUGUUGCAAAGGGUGACAGGAUGGACUUGGGGACUUUACCAGGCGUGUGAGAGAAUCCAGGUGUGUGGCUGGUUGGAGUUUCCCUCCAGAGGCUUAUAGAGAGACAGUGCAUGGAUACACGUGUGGAUAUGAAUGUUUGUCUAGGUACAUCUGUAUUUAUGUGUGUGUGAGGAUAAUUAUACAUGUGUAUGC
rnacentral:lncRNA from 1 species